AGUGUGGGUACGGGAGUUGUUCUGCUACUAAAAGGUAGAAAAGCCCCAUUACUCCAGCGUGUUCCUUGGUGCUAUUGUAGAUAGAUUCUAGAGUUAAAGUUUCACCAUCAAUUAUUUUGACAGAACCUAGUUUAGGAUAACAAGUGGACAUUCCUACAAUGUAUCCUGCUUCAUUUCCGGCAUCAUUUCCAUUUCCAUAAGUUGGUAUAGAUGAACAUAUAACCCUUCCGUCCUGAAAACAUAAUAUCCACAAAUUUCACUACUUUACAAUGUUUAACUUCUUGAUCAAAAUUUAAAGUCGCAGAACAACAACCCUAGUACAAAAGUAAACAUACAAAAAACGUAAACAGAGAACACAUGAUAUUUGAUCAAUUAGACAAUUCCAUAGUUACCUUUGAAUUAAUUCAUACCUGUAAAAAGUGAUAUCUAAAUUGUACAAUUGUUCUAAAAAAGAUUUGAACUCUAUCUAUUAAAGUUACAAAGUUAAAGUCUUACCAUAAUAAUUGUAACUUGUAACUAUUAUAAAUUACCUGUCCAUAUAGAGUUGAUCCAAUUCCACCCGAAUGUUGAUGAGCAACACCAUAUAUCACAUAGCCACCAAUUUGUAGUGGGAGACUUGUCCUCUUCACAUGAACACAACUAUUUGCCUCAUUAUGGUCUGCAUUGCAAGCUUCAACUAUAUAAUCAAUCUGAAACAAAGAAAUAUGUGUUGCUCACUAUAAAAUUCCCAAUAAAGUAAUUUAUUAGUGUUGCAUGUUUUUGAGUCAAAUUGAGAUUGAAACAAAAAAACUAUAAUGGAUUCAUUUACCAAAUGUUUCUUGAUGAAUUCAUUUACCUUGCAAUUAUGGUCUGAAUUCAUUCCUUUUGAAUCAUCUGAUAGUUUCAAAGUAUCAGUCACAUCAAUUAUAUAUAUCUUAACAGGCACUAUAAAAUCAUCCCAAUCAACCCAUUCCACAGUGUAUUUCAGGUAAAGACUUCUCUUUGGACCCUCAAAACCUUCCUUCAACUUACACUGUGUAUGAUCAUAACAACAUACCAAACCUCCUUUAUAAUCUGGCCUAAUAGACCUUCCAUGUGAAUCCACCGUAACAUUAUAAAGCUCGCACUUACAUUCAGUGCACCCUAACUUAUCCUCCACACCGCGUGUAUCAAUUGCAUGAACAUUAACCAACCAUUUCUCCUCGAACCCUUCCGGAAUCUCUGCAGGAUUCCCUAUCUCUAUUCCAAAAGGAUCCGGAAUAUCGGUCGCUGUUCCUCGUGUUUCGGAUCCAAGACCAAAGUAUUGUGGAAGAGUAUUUCCCUGACAUGUGCCACUGUUCCUAACAGUAUUAUUCCACUGCAAGUUUGCUUUACUUUGAUGAUAUCUUACAACAAGCCAAUGAUGGAGAUAAGUUUCAUGAAGAGGUAUAGGAUUACCAGCUUCAUCAACUACUUCAGCAUUGAAACUCUUGAUUGCUACACGACCUCUUGGAAAAUCAAUAUCAUAAUAAAUUCCAUUAACAACUGAUCCAGGUCCUAGCUCAAAUUUGGGGGACAAAAAAACAGCUGAUUUUAUCUUAGCUUUAGUCUUCAGAAUUGAACCUGAGCAUGAUGUGCUCAACAACAGAAGAAGUAUUGCAAGUGAAGAUACAAAAUUUUCAGACAUAAAAGUAGAACACAUGUUGAUCUGUUAGCAAAAGAACACAGUUGGGGUUUGUUUGUUUGUUGAGGAGAAAUUUAGAGUUUGUCGGUAUCAAAUGGUAGAUUUAACUUAUAUUUAUAGAUCAAUGAAUGAAUGAAAGUGAAGUAAUUUAAAAAAAAGUCAUGUUCUGUUGAACCCAUUGGGAUUGGUCGAGUGGUGUUGGCUUGGGCUCUUGGAGUAUGCUCCUCUCAAGGUCUCAGGUUCGAUUCCCACUGGUGCCAAUUUCGGUGAGCUAAGUCCAUACAGAGCAAAAAAAACUCUGGCUUUAAAUGGGGCCCCCGCAAGUGGGCGGUGGAAUUGGUCCCCUUAAAUUAGUCGGUCCUAAGACCGGAUACCAAGUUUUUAAAAAAAAAAGAGUCAUGUUCUGUUGUUUCCUAGUAGGUAACACUCAUCAAUAGGUUCGUUGCAAAAUUUAAGUAUGCACAGGAAAAACGUUUAACUUACUGUGAGAUCUUACACCUCAUGUUGAUAAUUUAAGGAUAUUUAAGUCACUUCAUAUGCAUAUGACAAAUUAUCAAUGGGUCCUAGUUUGACUAGCGAAAACAGUUUCAAAAUCAAACACAAUAUAAUUGAAAUUAUGUUGUCCAGUCUCUUAUUUUUUAGCAGAUUAAAUGCACAAAUUUUACUCCAUCUAAUCUAACCUUAGUUUUGCGAGCUUAAUUAUAACUUAUAAGUAAAUAUUUCACUCAUUUAAUAACCGGUUAAAUACAUCGGUUUUAUUCAAUAAAUCUAUAAAAAAGAAGUGACAAAAUUACACCAUGAGUCAUUUAUCUUAUUUAUUUCUAAUAGAUUUGUCGGGUAUUUUUUUUUUAAAAAAAAAAACUGAUCACCUAUCUUGAUAAAUGUGCACAAUUUAAUCAUUUAUCAUAUUUAUUUGUAAUAUAUUCAUCUAUUAUCUUAUUUAUUUGUAACAUAUUCGUCCUUUAUCUUUUUUUCUUUUCCCACACAUGUCAUUUAUCUUUAUAAAUGUGCACAACUUAAUUUUUUAUCUUAUUUAUUUGUAACAUAAUAAAAUGUUUGAAACAUGGAACAAGGUGUUCUUGCGAUGAAGCACCGACACCUCUAUGAUUAGGCGUGUCGCGAUGUCCGACACGUGUCGGUGUCCGACACACGUAUGACACUCGUACGACACGUGUCGGAUAGCUCAGAUCGGUGUCCAUAAAAACUCAAUUUUUCAAUAAAUAACUUGCUCAACUUAGAUUUACAUGUAUAUAUUUUGACUCUCAAUUUAUAUUUUUUAUAAAUAUGUAGCGGUGUCGGUGUUCUAUAUUUUUUACAAUAGCGGUGUCGCGGCGUCCGUGUCGGUGUCGUGUCGCAGUGUCCGUGUCGGAGUCUGUGCUUCAUAGCUUGCGAGUAUAUUUGGAAAGACACUAAAGGUUGGAUUUUAAAUGUUAGUGGUUAAGUCGAAUGUUGGAUAUACAAGAGAAGUGACUCAUGAACUAAUACCUUAAAGUUUUGUGUAGAGAUACGACGUCUCCCUCUCAUGUGAUCCUGGAGUAUUAACUCAUUGUUACUUUCGACGCUACCUGAACUCUCCAGUAAAUGGUAUCAAAACUGUGGUUCGAUAGUGUUUAUAAAAUUUGAUCACCUCUCUUCUUACAAGCAGAUUUUAUAAGAUCGAAUUAGACUCAAGUUAAAUUCUAACAAAACCCUUUGAUUGUUACUAUUCUCUGCACUCUGCAGAUGUCCUGUUAUUCUUCUGGACUGCCUUAAUCUCAUGACUUGUGUGAGAAUUAACUACAAGAGAAUAGUAAAAAUAUGCUAAUAAUAACAACCAUGGCUUGAAUGUGGUUGAACACUUCUGGCUUGAAUUCAGUAUAAUCUUGAAGGCCGUUCUCUUUAUUUAUUUAGCAAAUCCUUGAAUAUUAAUAUUGGUUACUCCAAGGCUAAUAUUUAGAUAUAAUUUAUCUCAAUUUAAGCCAUUGGAUAUAUCUUUUUUUAACUUCUGAGUCUCGUCAUACAUUACCUGUGUAUAUAUAGUGUAUAUCUAUCUGUCUGAUUUAAGGGGCUAUAAAAUAUUUAUGCCAGGAUCCUGUUUGUUACACUACACAGUAAGAUUACUACAGAUGCNNNNNNNNNNNNNNNNNNNNNNNNNNNNNNNNUUUCAGAUCAGAGAUUAGUUCUAUAAAAAUGUGUUAAUCUAUUACUAUCACUUUCUACCCUUGAGGCCUUGACAAAUGAGUUCAUUCUCACUAUUGAAAUGAGAGGAAGUGACGGGGACCAGAGUUGAGGCGAAGUUACAAACGUAGGGAGCAGCGACGGUUGAGCUAUGAACGAGGAAGCAAAUGUGGGUUCACAAUUUUGCCAAGGGUGGCAGACAACUGACUUGUUCCGUAAGGAAGCCACACCUGUGGCAGGACCCUAUACUUGUUCCAUAGCCACUUUGCAUGUACGUUUCAAGAGAGAAGAUCUUUUAAGCAACUUUAGGACAUAAACAACAUUAGCUACUCACAAUUCCUAAUAUUAAACAUCAAAAUAAAUUUGUGAUGUGUAACAUCAAAAUAAAUAAAAAUGGCUAAUGGGUUAUAAGUGUUCUAAUGAAACAGAAAUAUUCUUCAUAAUAAAUGGAAAUCCCAUUAUUUUAAGCAUAUCAAUAUGCUUUUUAUUUUUUGAAACAUAAGCAUAUCAAUAUGCUACAUUGUACAACAAACAUACCACAUAGCCAUAUCCAUAUGAUACCAGAAAGAGUGGAUGAAUACAAAAAUACAAACUAAACAAUUACAGGAAACUAGAGGAUAGAAUGUCUAAAGUGCUGGUAUAUGGGAGUUGUUCGGCUACUAAAAGGUAGAAAAGCCCCAUUACUCCAGCGUGUUCCUUGGUGUUAUUGUAGAUAGAUUCUAGAGUUAAAGUUUCACCAUCGAUUAUCUUGACAGAACCUGGUUGAGGAUAACAAGUGGACAUUCCUACAAUGUGCCCUACUUCAUUUCCUGCUUCAUUCCCAUUUCCAUAAAUUGGUAUAGAUGAACAUAUAACCCUCCCGUCCUGAAAACAUAAUCCACAAAUUUCACAAAACAAGCUACUGCACAAUGUUUAACUACUUGAUCAAAGGUAAAAGUACUAGAAAACAACCCUGGUACAAAAGUAAACAUUCGAAAAACGACCAAGUAUUGAAGUUACAAACUCAAAGUCUUACCACUACCAAAUAUUUAAGAAUGACAAUAAGUUGUAACUAUUGCAAAUUACCUGUCCAUAUAGAGUUGAUCCAAUUCCGCCCGAAUGUUGAUGAGCAACCCCAUAGAUCACAUAGCCACCUGUUUGAAAUGGGAGAUUUGUCCUCUUUACAUGAACACAACCAUUUUCCUCCUUGUGGUCUGUACUGCAUGAUUCUACUUGAUACUCAACCUGAAACCAAAAAAAAUUCCAUGUUGCUUACUAUAAAACCCAACAAAGUAGAGUUUUAGAGUUAAAUAGAGAUUUAGACAAACAAACUACAUAUAUAGUUGAGAGACUCGACAUUCACACAAUCAGUACACCGGUAGCCGUUGGAUUGAGAUUGGACCAUCAUAGAUUCCAAGUGCGGUAUUUUGGAUUUUCAAACAAUCAAAAUCAUAUAUUUUGGGAAAUGUCCGAUUUUUAACCAACAGUCACUGGUGCAUUGAAUACGUGAAAGCAGGGUAUCCCAACUACACUGAACCCAUUUCAACUAACCAAAUGUUUCUUGAUAAAUUCAUUUACCUUGCAAUUAUGAUCUGAGUUCGUUCCUUUUGAAUCAUCUGAUAGUUUCAAAGUAUCAGUCACAUCAAGUACAUAUAUCUUAACAGGCACUAUAUAAUCAUCCCAAUCAAUCCAUUUCACUUUGUAUCUUAAGUAGAGGCUUCUCUUUGGACCCUCAAAACCUUCCUUCAGCUUGCACUGUGUAUUAUCAUAACAACAUAACAAACCUCCUUUAUAAUCUGGUCUAAUAGACCUUCCAGAUUCAUCGAUUGUAACAUUAUAAAGGUCACACUUACACUCGGUGCACCCUGAUUUAUCCUCUGCGCCGCGAUUAUCAAUAGCAUGAAUAUUAACCAGCCAUUUCUCCUCAAACUCUUCUGGAAUCUCUGCAGGAUUACCUAUCUCUAUUCCAAAAGGAUCCGGAAUAUCAGUCGCCGUUCGUCGUGUUUCGGAUCCAAGGCCAAAGUAUUGUGCAUAAAUAGUUCCCUGACACAUGCCACUGUUCCUAAAAGUAUUUUUCAAAUGCGAGUUUGCUUUACUUUGAUGAUAUCUUACAACAACCCAAUGAUGGAGAUAAGUUUCAUGGAGAGGUAUAGGAUUACCAGCUUCAUCAACUACUUCAGCAUCGAAACUCUUGAUUGCUACAUGACCUCUUGGAAAAUCAAUAUCAUAAUAAAAUCUAUUAACAACUGAUCCAGGUCCUAGCUCAAAUUUGGGGGAUAAGAAAACAGCUGAUUUUAUCUUAGCUUUAGUCUUCAGAAUAGAACCUGAGCAAGAUGUGCUCAACAACAGAAGAAGUAUUGAAAGUGAAAAUACAAAAUUUCCAGACAUAGAACACAUGUUGAUCUUAGCAAAAUCUUGCAUGAUAGUCCUCCCUGGAAGCCUUUAAAAAAGUGAAUUAAACUACAAAAUAAACAAAACAGAUAAUAUAUGGCAGAUCAUAUCACCAAAUAAACUAACUACACAAAUAAGCAUGAAAAAGACAUAGUUUGAACAAAAUCAUCAUCAUCAAGAUUUUAAAUUAGUCACAUGGCAACUUAUAAAUACAGUUGAAGUUGAUUCAGCUUCAAUUGCAAUCACAACUAGUCAUCAAAAUUUUGAUGUUGUGACUACAAUUGUUGUCACAGAACAUAACAUUUUUAAAACAUAAACUUAUGAUCAAGCAACUUUGUUUUAUAUUAAAAAAAAAAGUAUAAUUAGCAAUAUUAGAUAGUGAUUAUAGAAACUAAUGACCAAAAAGGAUUAGAGUAUAUGAUCAAGAAUAGAUAGAUGAGAUUGCAUACCUCAAGAAAGUCUGGAAAAUGACAGAGUCUGGAAAUUUAGAGUGUGUCGGUAUUAAAUAGUAGAUAAGAUAAUGAAUGAGUGAAUGAAUGCAAGUGUAGAGAUUGUAAUUCAAUAUUUUAAAUUAUCUUUUCUUUCCUUUUUGGGACACGCAGCCCCUAAAUAUAUUUAGCCGACUAAAUUAAUAUAUUUAAAUAGCUUAAGCAUUUUAUUAAAAAUAAAUGGUAUAAUCAACUUCUGAUAAUGUCUAAUUUUUUUUUUUAAGUAAAAAUGGAAAGCAUGACAUCAUAGUAAGUCAUCGACAUCCCAACUAUAUUGACACCUCAGUGCACUAUCACUCCUCUAUUAUCUCACCAAAAAUAUACUUCAUAAUUUGUCUUAUCCUUUUAACAAUUACUAGUAAUUAUUCAUUGACAAUGAUAUGUUGGUGCUCCCAUCCCACCUCUAAAAAAAAUUUCUCCAUCUUCAAAAAUAUAUAAGAAAAUGAUAAAGAAAAUGAGUGGCUGAUAAGCUCUAUAUUAUUCUAAAUACUAAAUUUAUCCGUUGAAAUUUUUUAAAUUCAGAACUACUUCACAAAGUGAUAUCUUACGUAUUUUCUAUAUAGGAGCAUAAGUGUCUUCACAAAAUACUAAUUCCUUUAGUUCAAUUUUUCUACCCAACCAAACAAGCAAAGAGAACACUUAUCUUUUCUUACCCAGUUUCUCUUUUCUCGAAUACAUAGGUGUUAUUCAAAAAUCUAAAAAAAUGUGACAAAAUUAUACUAGGAGUUAUUUAUCUUUAUUAUUGAUUUUUAUUGCGAAGUUGUAGUGCACCAUUCUUAUCGUGGAGCAAACUUUUGUGCGGAUACAUUGACAAAUUACGAGUGUUUAUUGGAUAAAAAGAUGAAAUUUUAAGAGUCAUAUCCGGUGAAUUUUAGUCAUUUGUUAAUUACUAAUGUAAUUGGGAGAAUUUCUUCCGCUAUAUUAAUCUUGUGUAAUCUUUUUUCUCUUUUCUCGAAUACAUAGGUGUUAUUCAAAAAUCUAAAAAAAUGUGACAAAAUUAUCCUAGGAGUUAUUUAUCUUUAUCUUCUUUUUUCCCCAAAUUGAUCACUUAUCUUUAUAAAUGUGCACAACUAAAUCUUUUAUCAUAUUUGUUUGUAACAUAUUCAUCAAUUAUUUUAUUUAUUUAUAACAUAUUCAUCCUUUAUCUUAUUUUUUAUCUCACACGUGUCAUUUAUCUUUAUAAAUGUGUACGAAUAUUUCAAAGGGAUGGGCUGCAAUAUUUCAAUGUUUGGUCGCGAGGUAAGGAAAGUUUGACAAAAAAUUUAUUCCCACCAAAUAUCGAACUCAGGUUCUCCCGAACAAUUCAUCCUUAAGGGAGCUAAUUUACUCUAUAUUAUCCAAUAAACAUGGAUGUUCUUGCGAGUAUAUUUGGAAAGACACUAAAUGUUGGAUUUUAAAUGUUAGUGGUUCAGUCGAAUGUUGGAUAUAAAAUGUUGCGAGUAUAUCAGAACUGUGGUUCAAUAGUGUUUAUAAAAUUUGGACACCACUCUCUUACAAGCCGAUUUUAUAAGAUCGAAUUAAACUAACUCAAAUUCUAACCAAACCCUUUGAUUGAUUGUUACUAUGUCUGCACAAGAUCUGUUAUUCUUUUGUAUUGCCUUAAUCUCAUGACUUGUGUAUAUCUAUCUUUCUGAUUUAAGGGGCUAUAAAAUAUUUAUUCCAGGAUCCUGUUUGUUACACUACACUGUAAGAUUGUUUCAGAUGCUAAAUUAGCGUUUCAGAUCAGAGAUUAGUUCUAUAACAAUGUGUUAACCUAUUACUAUCACUUUCUACCCUUGAGGCCUUGACAAAUGAGUUUGUUCUGACUAUUGAAACGAGAGAGACGAACAUGGACAAAAACUAACCUAAUUGAAAUGCAAUGGUGACAACUGAGNNNNNNNNNNNNNNNNNNNNNNNNNNNNNNNNNNNNNNNNNNNNNNNNNNNNNNNNNNNNNNNNNNNNNNNNNNNNNNNNNNNNNNNNNNNNNNNNNNNNNNNNAUAUCUAUAUCCAUAUAUGAUACUUAUCACAUAGCCAUAUAACAUAUUCAUAUAUGAUACAAGAAAGAGUGGAUGAAUCCAAAAAUACAAACUGUAUAUCACUAAAACUAGAGAAUAUGCUCACCUCUUGUUUUUCUCCUAUAGCUAGCUACAUACAAAGAGAAAAAAGUGUAAUUAUCCAAUUACACUUUCCAAUCUUGUCUUUAUUCCUCUCAAGUCUUAACCAACCAUAUGGUAAUUUAAUAUCAUGUCACUCCGCUUAUAUUACCAUUUAUUUACAUCCAUAAAAAAUGAAGAACGAGUAGAAUGUCUAAAGUGUUGGUAUGGGAGUUGUUCUGCUACUAAAAGGUAGAAAAGCCCCAUUACUCCAGAGUGUUCCUUGGUGUUAUUGUAGAUAGAUUCUAGAGUUAAAGUUUCACCAUCGAUUAUCUUGACAGAACCUGGUUGAGGAUAACAGGUGGACAUUCCUACAAUGUACCCUACUUCAUUUCCUGCUUCAUUCCCAUUUCCAUAAGUUGGUAUAGAUGAACAUAUAACCCUACCGUCCUGAAAACAUAAUUCACAAAUUUCACAAAACAAGCUACUGCACAAUGUUUAACUUCUUGAUCAAAAGUAAAAGUACUAGAAAACAACCCUGGUACAAGAGUAAACAGAUACGAAAAACGACCAAGUAUUGAAGUUUCAAAGUCAAAGUCUUACCACUAUCAAGUAUUUAAGAAUGACUAUAAGUUAUAAAUAUUGCAAAUUACCUGUCCAUAUAGAGUCGAUCCAAUUCCAC
rnacentral:lncRNA from 1 species